rnacentral:rRNA from 1 species
ACGGAGGGUGCAAGCGUUAAUCGGAAUUACUGGGCGUAAAGCGUGCGCAGGCGGUUUGUUAAGUCUGUUGUGAAAUCCCCGAGCUCAACUUGGGAAUUGCAAUGGAUACUGGCAAGCUGGAGUAUGGUAGAGGAAGGUGGAAUUCCCGGUGUAGCAGUGAAAUGCGUAGAGAUCGGGAGGAACAUCUGUGGCGAAGGCGACUACCUGGACCAGCACUGACACUGAGGCACGAAAGCGUGGGGAGCAAACAGGA